rnacentral:lncRNA from 1 species
UAGGUGUCAAGGCAGCCACGCCUGGGCCAGCCUAUGCCCCACCACAGAGUAGAAUAAAGGGAAGCUCCUGACCAGGAACCAGUCCAUGAACCAACCAGCUUCUGUCUUUCAAACAAGGGAGCUAAGAGUCACCUGACUUCAGUUAGAUAGUGCUUGGUAUUUGAACUGAAAGAUCAUGGAGAGCCAGGCUGGGGCAGUGACCUUAAUGCUGUGUGCACUUUCUGAAGAAGGGAGAGAGCACCUGCCAGGCAAAGGGAAUGAGCUGAUAAUUGAGCAGGUGUAGGGCCUGGCAAGCGUGCUUCCCUAUUGUUGAGGACCUGAAAGAUUGUCUGUCACAGUCUUGGAAUACGCUUGUUCAAGGCUCUGACUCAGCAGGGAUUUCAAACUGGUUCCAGCUUAUCCACCUCAGGCCUUCUAAAGGCAGAGUUUUCUCUGGCUGGUGGCAGAACAGAAGUUGGAAGCAAGAGAGAAGAAGAUCUGACCCAUCCUCUCUGGCUGGAAGACAACUGCGGCAGUAA